GUAGGGAAUAUUGCAGAAUGGGCGCAAGCCUGAUGCAGCAACGCCGCGUGGGCGAUUGAAGGCCUUCGGGUUGUAAAGCCCUUUUGCGCGGGAAGAGGAAGGACGGUACCGCGCGAAUAAGCCUCGGCUAACUACGUGCCAGCAGCCGCGGUAAAACGUAGGAGGCGAGCGUUAUCCGGAUUUACUGGGCGUAAAGCGCGUGCAGGCGGCCCGGCAAGUUGGCUGUGAAAGCCCCCGGCUCAACCGGGGGAGGUCGGUCAAAACUGCCGGUGCUAGAGGAUGGGAGAGGGAGAUGGAAUUCCGGGUGUAGUGGUGAAAUGCGUAGAGAUCCGGAGGAACACCAGUGGCGAAAGCGAUCUUCUGGCCCAUCACUGACGCUCAGACGCGAAAGCUAGGGGAGCGAACGGGAUUAGAAACCCUAGUAGUCC
rnacentral:rRNA from 1 species